AGCAAAAAAAACACAAACAGCAGUACCUAUUGUUCAUACCAUAAGGAACAUAGAAAGUUACAAUUUAAUCCAACAGGCUUCAAGAAAAAUCUACAAUGGAGUGAAAUAAGGUUUAAUUUUUUUACAAAGUUUUUAUUCUUUGCUUAUUGCUGGAUAAAUUGUCCCAAAAUACUGAAAAUUGCUUGGACAUUUUGUCUGCUGUUUGUCAGCAGUGACAUUUUCAAUGAUUUCCAAGAUAGAGAGAGAUCCAAUUACCCAAGUUUACCCAAACACCAGCGUCAGGUGUGAUAAAUUUACUCCUAUUUCAGCACAUUUGCUUUACUUGGCUCUCGUUUUAUGAAAAUAUUCAUUUGAAUGCCAGUGCUUUAACAUAACAAAUUUUGUGACAAAAAAUAAAAAUACCAUUAUAAAUAGGAACAAUUAAGAAAUUAAGACAUAACAUUAUUAAAGUGUUGUAAUAUAUAUGGUUUUAAAGAUGUUUGGUUUAGUCUACUUUAAAAAUGUGGUUUAGUCUACUUUGAAAAGGAUAGUACACUUGUAAGUGUGCGACAAAAUCUCAGAGACUUGACAUUCGAAGUUUUCAAGCGAAAAUCAAAAUGUUCCAUGAAAUGGGGCGCAGAAGACAAUGAGGAAAGAAUUAUUAUUACCAGAGAUGGUUCAACUGAUGGAACAUUAUCCAACCACAAUAAAAAGAUUUGGAUUGCGCAAGUUUUGCAGUGCUGCCUUUUACCUGAUGGUGAAACUUAGUUCCGGCCAUAAAUCCGAGGGAGACACAAGAACGGUCAAGAGGUCAGGUUCUGGCGGGGAACAAGCAUGACAUAAAGCCUGUGCUUGAUGCCGUCAUCAUUUCUGCCUGCAAAGGUUAUGUCUGGAUGUGGUGCAAAGACCACAGCAAAACAGUGCCAGAUGACACCUCCUUCAACAAGGCCGUGACACUCCAAAUAGACUACUCCAGGAAAUAAAUGAAAUCAUUUUGGAAUUUAGACUAAAAAUAGGGGGUGUUAGAUUGUUUAAUUUUUACCCUGUCAUAAUGUGAUCAAUUCAACAACAACAAAAAUAUUGGUACUGUCAGUAUAUUUCAUUGUGUACAUUUUAUUGUUUACAUUUUAUAAUCUCAUUAAAAAAAUGUUAUUUAU